rnacentral:rRNA from 1 species
GUAUUUAAGGGGUUGAGGGACAAAGUAGUGAAGAACUGUAAGAUAUUCAAUAUAGUGUAUUGAUGAAUUAGAAUUGUAUGGAAAGAUAAACCGCAGAAGGUGAGAGUCCUGUAUAAGUAAAUCCUUACACAUAUAACUUUGCUCCCAAGUAACAUGGAACACGAGGAAUUCUGUGUGAAUCAGUGAGGACCAUAUCUCAUAAGGCUAAAUACUCUUACUAACCGAUAGCGCAUAGUACCGUGAGGGAAAGGUGAAAAGAACCCCGGGAGGGGAGUGAAAUAGAACCUGAAACCUUAUGCUUACAAGCAGUGGGAGCUAAAGUGACCACGUACUUUUUGUAGAACGGGCCAACGAGUUAUGGUGUGUAGCAAGGUUAAGGUGCUGGAGCACCGGAGCCGUAGCGAAAGCGAGUCUUAAUAGGGCAAAAGUUACAUGCUGUAGACCCGAAACCGGGUGACCUAUCCAUGUGCAGGUUGAAGCGAGAGUAAAAUCUCGUGGAGGACCGAACCCAUAUCCGUUGA